rnacentral:rRNA from 1 species
UACGGAGGGUGCAAGCGUUAUCCGGAUUCACUGGGUUUAAAGGGUGCGUAGGCGGACAGGUAAGUCAGUGGUGAAAUCUCUGGGCUUAACUCAGAAACUGCCGUUGAUACUAUUUGUCUUGAAUAUCCUGGAGGUAGGCGGAAUAUGUCAUGUAGCGGUGAAAUGCUUAGAUAUGACAUAGAACACCUAUUGCGAAGGCAGCUAACUACGCGAAUAUUGACGCUGAGGCACGAAAGCGUGGGGAUCAAACAGG